rnacentral:misc_RNA from 1 species
GAUGAAGAACGUAGCGAAAUGCGAUAAGUAGUGUGAAUUGCAGAAUUCAGUGAAUCAUCGAAUCUUUGAACGCACAUUGCGCCUCCUGGUAUUCCGGGAGGCAUGCCUGUUCGAGCGUCAUUAAAAUCACUCAAGCUUAGGUUUACCUAUUGCUUGGUCUUGGAGAUGGAAGCCAAUUUAUUGGAAUCCUCUUCGAAAUUCAAUGGCGAAGACCCUUGCUCUCCCAAGUGUAGUAAUAACUUAUGUCACUGAAGGAAGCGAGAAAUCUUCUGCCGUAACCCCCUUAUUUUCUAUGAUUGACCUCGGAUCAGGUAGGGAUACCCGCUGAACUUAAGCAUAUCAAUAAGCGGAGGA